rnacentral:sRNA from 1 species
AUGGCUGUCGUCAGCUCGUGUCGUGAGAUGUUGGGUUAAGUCCCGCAACGAGCGCAACCCCCGUCGCAUGUUGCCAGCAUUUAGUUGGGGACUCAUGCGAGACUGCCGGUGACAAACCGGAGGAAGGUGGGGAUGACGUCAAGUCAUCAUGCCCCUUAUGUCCAGGGCUACACACGUGCUACAUUGGCGUAUACAGAGGGCUGCGAUACCGCGAGGUGGAGCGAAUCCCUUAAAGUACGUCUCGGUUCGGAUUGUAGGCUGAAACCCGCCUACAUGAAGGUGGAGUUGCUAGUAAUCGCGGAUCAGCAUUGCCGCGGUGAAUACGUUCCCGGGCCUUGUACACACCGCCCGUCACACCACGGGAGUUGGUAACACCCGAAGCCGGUGGCCUAACCGCAAGGAGGGAGCCGUCGAAGGUGGGACCAGUGACUGGGGUGAAGUCGUAACAAGGUAGCCGUACCGGAAGGUGCGGCUGGAUCACCUCCUUUCUAGGGAGCCCCAUAACGGGGCACGUAGGGAAACGCGUCGCCAGGCGCUUCUGCAGGCCUUCGGGCCACCGGACUUUCUCUUCACGAGCGAGCCGGCGCGGAAAGCUGACCUGACCGACUACGCCUCUACGGCUAGAACGUCGACCGAGCCUAGGGCUCAUUUGCGAGCGACCCAUCCCGGGGAGCUUUAGCGCGAGUUGUGCUGUUGAGUUUUGAGAGACCGGCAUCGGCCCGGUCGGUGAGCGAUCUGCUCGCCGGCGGGGCCACGCCCCUCUUGGCGGCCCUUGAAAACUGCACAGUAGCCACACGAUCCACCCUUUUACGAUAAGCGGGGUGGAUCACGGGUAUCACCGACGUCUCCUCUUUGCCGGGGAGGCGCUCGAGAAGAUCACCGUCAAGAUAGUAAGGGCAGAUGGUGGAUGCCUUGGCACCUAGAGCCGAUGAAGGACGUGGACGACUGCGAUAAGCCACGGUGAGGCGUUGAACAGCCUUUGACCCGUGGAUUUCCGAAUGGGGAAACCCGG